CGCUAGCAGCAUAAACAGCUCUGUCAUACAGAUGUUAGAUGACCUUUUAAAGUAUUUAUAAAGGUGUAACCAGUCUGCUCUCAACCCCAGAAAGGAGGUGACUGUGAUUUCUCUUCUCCCUACUGAGGGGUCCUGAAGCUCACGGGAAGUAUUCACAUGAGGAUGGUACUGCCACAACAUCUACAGUGUCCAUCACCAACUAAUGUUUUCUCAGCGUCGCCAAUCCAAAUAACUGAGGUCUGCAGCUGCCGAGCCACAUGCCAAAACACGACAAUGUUCCUCCAACGCAGGCCAAACGGAGGUAUUUGGAGAGAGACCUCAGAUGAUUUCUCCUCACCUUGAAGACCAUGUGCAGGAGGUAUUGCAGUCCGCUUU